UAGGGAAUAUUGCACAAUGGAGGAAACUCUGAUGCAGCGACGCCGCGUGAGUGACGAAGGCCUUCGGGUUGUAAAGCUCUGUUCUCAGGGAAAAAGCAAGUGAUUGUACCUGAGGAGAAAGGACCGGCUAACUUCGUGCCAGCAGCCGCGGUAAGACGAGGGGUCCAAGCGUUGUUCGGAAUCAUUGGGCGUAAAGCGGGUGUAGGUGGCUCUAUAAGUCAGAAGUGAAAGCCCUGGGCUCAACCCAGGAAGUGCUUUUGAUACUGCAGAGCUUGAAUGUGGGAGAGGGUAGUGGAAUUCCAGGUGUAGUGGUGAAAUACGUAGAUAUCUGGAGGAACACCGGUGGCGAAGGCGGCUACCUGGCCCAACAUUGACACUGAGACCCGAAAGCGUGGGGAUCAAACAGGAUUAGAUACCCUGGUAGUCCC
rnacentral:rRNA from 1 species